UUCUCAUAUAUCAGUUGAAUUGAAGCACAUAAUAAAGUUUUUUUUUAAUAUUCAUUAUUAAUAGAGAUUUUUCAAUUGAAGAAGAUCGUCGAUAUGAAGAAACUGAUAUUGAAUAUUGCUUUGCUGUUUGUUCUUCUCUUCUCUGGGAAUGUUGCACCUCGGGAACCUGCAGUGAUCUGGAGAUCGGAUCAUUACAUCGCCCGCAAAUUAUUUCCCCGCUCUGAUGUACCUAGGGAUCACCACUAUCUUCGACGUUAGGCACAAAGAAAACUCCGUGUGUUGUGAUGAAGAAGCUUAUGGCCGAGAUGUGUGCAAAAUGCUUUGUGUGUUUUAUGAUGAAAUAAAUCUAUAUUAUCUAUAAGUAACUUUUUUCAUGUCAUUUUUAAAUACCAAAUAAAAAAUUAUUAUGUAUAAUAAAAUUAUU